rnacentral:lncRNA from 1 species
CAUUAUAGGUUGCACUUUGUAAAUACAGCUGUUUCUCAAAACACGCCUCUUUUGGGGAGUAAUUGAAUAUUCAUAGAAAAUUGAUUUUGUUUACAUACUGGUUCCCAGUUAUGCUCUCUGUGUUCCAUAUCGCAGAGACAGAACUUGGGAAUGUUACCAGUAAAUAAACACGUGCAUAUUGUUUACAUUGAAAUCUGUGGUAACCUUUCAUUCGAGGUAGGGGUAGUUAAGAAAAUUAGUGUAAGUUUAAACUCUGAGAAGUUCAGGGCAUAUAAACGUUGAAAAUAUGCCGCACAGCCC